GCAAAGUUAAGGAAAUAAGAGCAUAAGGUGAAUGCCUUGGCACUAGGAGCCGAAGAAGGACGUGACGAACUACGAAAAGCGACGGGGAGUUGUAAGUAAGCAGAGAUCCGUCGAUAUCCGAAUGGGGGAACCCGGCAGUAGAAGACUGUCACACUCGUAAGAGUGAGGGAACGCAGAGAACUGAAACAUCUUAGUACCUGCAGGAAAAGAAAGCAAAAGCGAUUUUCUGAGUAGCGGCGAGCGAAAGGGAAACAGCCCAUCUAUCUAAUGAGUUAAAAAACCAUAUUAUAGUCGAAGUGUAUUGGAAAAGCGAAGCAAAGAAGGUGAAACUCCUGUAGACGAAAUAGUGUGGACUUGGGAUAGAGAAGAGUACGGCGAGACACGUGGAAUCUUGUCGGAAGAACGGAGGACCAUCUCCGAAGGCUAAAUACUACCUAGUGACCGAUAGUGAACCAGUACCGUGAGGGAAAGGUGAAAAGCACCCUGGGAAGGGAGUGAAAGAGAACUUGAAACCAUAUGCUUACAACAAGUCAGAGCCCGUUAAAGGGUGAUGGCGUGCCUUUUGUAGAAUGAACCGGCGAGUUAUGAUAUCAUGCAAGGUUAAGAUUGAAGGAUCGGAGCCGCAGCGAAAGCGAGUUUGAAAAGAGCGAGAGUAUGAUGUUAUAGACCCGAAACCGUGCGAGCUAGGUAUGGGCAGGUUGAAGUUGCGUUAACCCGCAAUGGAGGACCGAACCGUAGUCCGUUGAAAAGGGCCCGGAUGACCUGUGUCUAGGGGAGAAAUUCCAAUCGAGCACGGAGAUAGCUGGUUCUCACCGAAAUAGCUUUAGGGCUAGCGUCAAGAUAGAGUGUAUCGGGGGUAAAGCACUGAAUGUAUAAUGGCCACAUCUCGUGGUACUGAAUGCAAUCAAACUCUGAAUACCGAUAUAUAUGCUUGGCAGUUAGACUGUGGGUGAUAAGAUCCGUAGUUGAAAGGGAAACAGCCCAGACCACCAGCUAAGGUCCCAAAGUUUCAGUUAAGUGGAAAAGGAUGUGGGGUUGCUUAGACAACUAGGAUGUUGGCUCAGAAGCAGCCAUCAUUUAAAGAGUGCGUAAUAGCUCACUAGUCGAGUGACCCUGCGCCGAAAAUGUACCGGGGCUAAGCAUAAUACCGAAACUGCGGAACACGCACAUAAAGUGUGGGUUGGUAGGUGAGCGUUCUAAAUGCAUCGAAGCUAUACCGUGAGGAGUGGUGGAGCGCUUAGAAGUGAGAAUGCCGGUAUGAGUAGCGAAAGACGGGUGAGAAUCCCGUCCACCGUAUGACUAAGGUUUCCUGGGGAAGGCUCGUCCUCCCAGGGUUAGUCGGGACCUAAGCCGAGACCGAAAGGUGUAGGCGAUGGACAACAGGUUGAGAUUCCUGUACUACUUAUUGGAGAGAAGGAAUGACGGAGAAAGAUAAUCUGAGCCAGCGAGAGGAUGUUGGUUUAAGGCUGAGAGGGAGUGUGGUAGGCAAAUCCGCCGCACAGAUAUCCUGAUCACUGAUGACGCAAGUCAGAUGAAUCUAUGCUUCCAAGAAAAGUUUCUAUCGCUAAUUCAAUAAGUACCCGUACCGCAAACCGACACAGGUAGUCGAGGAGAGCAUCCUAAGGUGAGCGAGCGAACUCUCGUUAAGGAACUCGGCAAAAUAACCCCGUAACUUCGGGAGAAGGGGUGCUGACCAUUUGGUCAGCCGCAGUGAAUAGGCCCAAGCGACUGUUUAUCAAAAACACAGGUCUCUGCUAAAUCGAAAGAUGACGUAUAGGGGCUGACGCCUGCCCGGUGCUGGAAGGUUAAGAGGAGUGCUUAGCAUUAGCGAAGGUACGAAUUGAAGCCCCAGUAAACGGCGGCCGUAACUAUAACGGUCCUAAGGUAGCGAAAUUCCUUGUCAGGUAAGUUCUGACCCGCACGAAAGGCGUAACGAUUUGGGCACUGUCUCAACGAGAGACUCGGUGAAAUUGUAGUACCAGUGAAGAUGCUGGUUACCCGCGACAGGACGGAAAGACCCCAUGGAGCUUUACUGCAGGUUGAUAUUGAUAUUCGGUAACCAAUGUAGAGGAUAGGUGGGAGACGAAGAAGUCGGGACGCUAGUUUCGAUGGAGUCGCCGUUGGAAUACCACCCUUUGGUUAUUGGAUAUCUAACCUGCAGAUGUGUAAUCUGGGGGACAGUGUCAGUCGGGCAGUUUGACUGGGGCGGUCGCCUCCUAAAAUGUAACGGAGGCGCCCAAAGGUUCCCUCAGAAUGGUUGGAAAUCAUUCGUAGAGUGUAAAGGCAGAAGGGAGCUUGACUGCGAGACCUACAAGUCGAGCAGGGACGAAAGUCGGGCUUAGUGAUCCGGUGGUUCCGCAUGGAAGGGCCAUCGCUCAACGGAUAAAAGCUACCCUGGGGAUAACAGGCUUAUCUCCCCCAAGAGUUCACAUCGACGGGGAGGUUUGGCACCUCGAUGUCGGCUCAUCGCAUCCUGGGGCUGAAGUCGGUCCCAAGGGUUGGGCUGUUCGCCCAUUAAAGCGGUACGCGAGCUGGGUUCAGAACGUCGUGAGACAGUUCGGUCCCUAUCCGUCGCGGGCGUUGGAAAUUUGAGAGGAGCUGUCCUUAGUACGAGAGGACCGGGAUGGACACACCGCUGGUGUACCAGUUGUUCUGCCAAGAGCAUCGCUGGGUAGCUAUGUGUGGAUGGGAUAAACGCUGAAAGCAUCUAAGCGUGAAGCCCUCCUCAAGAUGAGAUUUCCCAUUUUUUGAAAAGUAAGAUCCCUUAUAGAUGAUGAGGUUGAUAGGCUAGAGGUGUACGCAUAGUGAUAUGUUUAGCUGACUAGUACUAAUAGAUCGAGGACUUAACUUU
rnacentral:rRNA from 1 species